UACAGAGGGGGCAAGCGUUGUUCGGAAUUACUGGGCGUAAAGUGUGCGCAGGUGGCCGCGCAAGUCGAGUGUGAAAGCCCCGGGCUUAACUUGGGAAUUGCGCUCGAAACUACGUGGCUAGAGUGUGGCAGAGGGAGGUGGAAUUCCACGUGUAGCGGUGAAAUGCGUAGAGAUGUGGAGGAACACCAAUGGCGAAGGCAGCCUCCUGGGCCAACACUGACACUCAUGCACGAAAGCGUGGGGAGCAAACAGG
rnacentral:rRNA from 1 species